UACGAAGGGGCUAGCGUUGCUCGGAAUCGACUGGGCGUAAAGGGUGCGUAGGCGGGUCUUUAAGUCAGGGGUGAAAUCCUGGAGCUCAACUCCAGAACUGCCUUUGAUACUGAGGAUCUUGAGUUCGGGAGAGGUGAGUGGAACUGCGAGUGUAGAGGUGAAAUUCGUAGAUAUUCGCAAGAACACCAGUGGCGAAGGCGGCUCACUGGCCCGAUACUGACGCUGAGGCACGAAAGCGUGGGGAGCAAACAGG
rnacentral:rRNA from 1 species